UGCUGUGUCAAACAAGCAAAUCCGGACAGCACCAAUCGUCGAAGCAAUUGACAGCGCGCUAGUAUGAAGCAGAGCAUGCACCUUCUACUCCUCCUUGCGGCCGCCUCAUGCCUCAACGUCAUCGUGACCGGAGCGUCGUCGGCGCCGUGGCCCGUCGCUCUCGCCGCCUACUGCAUCUGGGCUCUCGCCUCCGCCGCGCUCCUCCCCCGCCACCGCGACCAGUGACGAGCUCUCGUCUCCGGCUGCUGUCCACACCCACGCCCUGAGAUCACAGAGAGGGUGGCGUGGAUAUGGCGGCAGCCGACGGAUUCCGGGCCGGAACUUGAGUACGGUUCCGUCCGGUCACCGGUCCUGUACAAUAACAACAAAAUAUUAAUUUGUCAGCUUAAGGCAGGUAUGUUGUGGUCCAUCCGCAGAGAAUAACUCAGUCGUUGAAUCUUGGAGUCGGCGGAAGCUACUGGUCCAGUUCUGGUAAGAAAUGGACACGUCAAAACGGUAGCCCGGUGCUCUAUGUAUCCAUCUGCUCCAUAUAUUGUACAAGUGUAUUGCUCAAGAAAAAUAAUAGAGUUUGUAUUGGUGUUCACGUAUCAUGGAAUAUAUGAUAAAGUUUGUUUGGAUACAA